AGAGUUUGAUCCUGGCUCAGAAUCAACGCUGGCGGCGUGCCUAACACAUGCAAGUCGCACGAGAAAGGGUAGCAAUACCUGAGUAAAGUGGCGCACGGGUGAGUAACACGUGAAUUAUCUACCUCCGAGUGGGGAAUAACUGAGAGAAAUCUUAGCUAAUACCGCAUAACACUUACGAGUCAAAGCAGCAAUGCGCUUGGAGAGGAGUUCGCGGCCGAUUAGUUAGUUGGCGGGGUAAUGGCCCACCAAGACGAUGAUCGGUAUCCGGCCUGAGAGGGCGCACGGACACACUGGAACUGAAACACGGUCCAGACUCCUACGGGAGGCAGCAGUGGGGAAUUUUGCGCAAUGGGGGAAACCCUGACGCAGCAACGCCGCGUGGAGGAUGAAAUAUCUUGGUAUGUAAACUCCUUUCGAUGGGGAAGAUUAUGACGGUACCCAUAGAAGAAGCCCCGGCUAACUUCGUGCCAGCAGCCGCGGUAAUACGAGGGGGGCAAGCGUUGUUCGGAUUUAUUGGGCGUAAAGGGUGCGUAGGCGGUUUGGCAAGUCUGAUGUGAAAUCUAUGGGCUCAACCCAUAGUCUGCAUCAGAAACUGCCGGGCUUGAGUAUGGGAGAGGUGAGUGGAAUUUCCGGUGUAGCGGUGAAAUGCGUAGAUAUCGGAAGGAACACCUGUGGCGAAAGCGGCUCACUGGACCAUAACUGACGCUGAUGCACGAAAGCUAGGGGAGCAAACAGGAUUAGAUACCCUGGUAGUCCUAGCCCUAAACGAUGAUUGUUUGAUGUGGCAGGUACCCAAUCCUGCCGUGUCGAAGCUAACGCGAUAAACAAUCCGCCUGGGGAGUACGGUCGCAAGGCUGAAACUCAAAGGAAUGACGAA
rnacentral:rRNA from 1 species